GAAUGAACACAGCUCAGCUUCAUUUUUGCCAAUUGAAAUGGAUAAUUGUUUGUCACUCACAGAUGCCUUGAUAAUAAUUGUUUUAUUGCCAUUAACGGACACAUUAAUAGCUAGUGCACAGAAUACAGAAUCCUGGUACCAUCAAUGCUAAUUUGCCCGCUUAAACUUGACAGGCAAAUAGCUAAUUCCAACAGCAUCAGAGGACAAGGCGCAGCCCAAACUUUAAAUUGCGAAGGCGCUACCGGCAAUGUUCUUUGUCGAGGGCAUACCGGCAGUAACAUCUUCUUCGAUGCCACAUUCAUUCUUGCCCCUUAUGAUCUUGAAG
rnacentral:lncRNA from 1 species